rnacentral:tRNA from 1 species
UUGAUAGAAACCAAAAAGAGGUGUGUCAUUGUUAAUGACAAUAUUGAAUUAAUAUUUAUUCCUAUCAAA